rnacentral:tRNA from 2 species
GCCCUUGUAGCCCAAUAGGAAGAAGGCGCUUCCCUCAGAAGGAAGAGGUUACUGGUUCGAGUCCAGUCAGGGGCA